CAUUGUGGAAGGAUAAAGAUAACAACUGAAGAUAAAUUUAAUUUAUAUAAAAUAACGCAUAUCACGUUUGAUUUGUGUUUAGGAUUAGAGUUGAUAAGUCUGUCGAAAAGUAGAGUAGUGGAACAACACUACCAAACAAAAGAGAAGGCACUGCCUCCCCUGCCUUUUCUGACGAGCCGCUACUGGCCAGCACAGUCAACAAACAUACCAAUGUUACUACUAGGGACCAGAAAACGAAACGUGACGAUCCGGAGUGUACCAAUCUAGCAAAAAGAAAUACUAACGACCAGUUUAUAUACACUGAAGUAGUCACGAAAAAGAAAGAAAUCAACACCAAACCCAUCAUCGGAAGUCGGAACGAACACAGUCAACCUGCAUAGCCUAAACAGGAUACCCGACCCAAACAUCUGGCCAGCUGGAUGCCAAAUCACCCUUUUUUCCACAAGCGAGGAUAGAAAGAGAAGAAAACAUAACGCCAUAUCAACUACACAUGAAGUUGAAAUCUACCUCAAUGAUGUACAGGGCUUUUAUAAAUUAUUCUAAGGGCGUAGUUGCCAUGGAUUUCAAAAAUACCGCUUCGCUGAAAUCACCGAGGCAUUUCCUCCCAACGUUAAAAAUUACAUCACCGAGGCAUUUCCUUACAAUGCUAAAAUUUACAUCACCGAGACGCUUAUUCCUCGCAGCGCUGACUUGAUAUUUUUGUGUUUAUUUACCAUGUGUUUUGUUUGGGCUAUUAUAAACUCUCAAAGCUAA